UACGUAGGGUGCAAGCGUUAAUCGGAAUUACUGGGCGUAAAGCGUGCGCAGGCGGCUAUGCAAGACAGAUGUGAAAUCCCCGGGCUCAACCUGGGAACUGCAUUUGUGACUGCAUAGCUAGAGUACGGUAGAGGGGAUGGAAUUCCGCGUGUAGCAGUGAAAUGCGUAGAUAUGCGGGAGGAACAACCGAUGGCGAAGGGCAAUCCCCCUGGACC
rnacentral:rRNA from 1 species